ACUGACACACACACAGACACAUACACUGAUAGACAUACUGUGUGUGUCAGUAUGUCUGUACAUGUGCCUGUGUGUGUGUGUGUCAGUAUGUCUAUCAGUGCAUGUGCCUGUGUUUGUGUGUCA